rnacentral:lncRNA from 10 species
GUGAAGCUUCUCAACAAAAGCAGGAGCAGCAGAUUUGUGAGGUUGGCUUAAUCACACUCCAGGAGAUAUUGAAGAUAGUCAGAAGCAGAACUUGCUGCUUCUGUUUUCGUCCUCAGGAGCACACACUAGGUCCUGCAUAAUCUUAGCAGUGACAGAAUAUUGGUUCUCCAUAAUUAUCCAAUGAUCCUCAAGGUUAUGCAAACUCCAAAUUUUACAGAUUCUCUCUCUCGUUGCCCAGGCUGAAGCGCAAUGGCUCAGUCGCAGCUCACUGCAACUUCUGCCUCCCAGGUUCAAGAGAUUCUUCUGCCUCAGCCUCCUGAGUUGCAGGGAUUACAGGAGUGUGCCACGACGCCUGGCUAAUGUUUUGUACUUUUAGUAGAGAUGGGGUUUCACCAUCUCAGCCACGCUGGUCUUGAACUCCUGAUCUCAAACGAUCUGCCUGCCUUGGCCUCCCAAGGUGCUGAGAUUACAGACGUGAGCCACUAUACCUGGCCUCAAUAUUCCCUUAAUAAAUGUGUAUUGCUAUUUUUGUGUCCUCUGCGUGUAAUAGGACUCAUUUAACAAUUGUUCUAACAGAAACCUUCAUUUAUCCACAGGAAAUAUGAUACAGAUCUUUCUCCAUAUUAAGACUGGGAAAUUUUUUGUGACAAAGUUGAAUUGUUGCUUUACUCCCUUUUUUGCUUUGUGACAUUGGAUUAAA